UACAGAGGUCUCAAGCGUUGUUCGGAUUCAUUGGGCGUAAAGGGUGCGUAGGUGGCGCGCUAAGUCAGGUGUGAAAUUUCGGAGCUUAACUCCGAAACUGCAUUUGAUACUGCGGUGCUUGAGGACUGGAGAGGAGACUGGAAUUUAUGGUGUAGCAGUGAAAUGCGUAGAUAUCAUAAGGAAGACCAGUGGCGAAGGCGGGUCUCUGGACAGUUCCUGACACUGAGACACGAAGGCCAGGGGAGCAAACGGG
rnacentral:rRNA from 1 species